rnacentral:rRNA from 15 species
GAGGCACAAAUGAAAUACCACUCUUUAAUUAUCUUGGGGCUAACUUUUAUAUUAUCUUGAAGAACAUUGUAUAGGCGGUAGUUUGAGUGGGGCGCUCACCUUUUAAAGAGUAACAAAGGUGCGCAAUGGUUGGCUCAAGUAGCAAUAAGCUACUGUAGAGUGCAAUAGCAUAAGCCAGCCUGACUGUAAGACUUACAAGUCGAGCAGAGACGAAAGU